UAAAUUAUUAGUUAAGCUCAAUGGAUGUUAAUAACUGUAUUAAAGUGGAAUUUAAAUUAUUAUAAAUUAGAUUCUAUUGUAAAAGUCUAAAAGGCAACUCUCUGUUACAGAAAGAACUGUUAUUAUUUUUAUGUUAAUAAAAGUGUUAUUCAUAGUAAAGCCAGUGACGUCAUUGAUAACAGUUUAAAAAAGAAGACGAAAGUUUAAUUUGGUUUGAAAGAAAAAGAGAAAUGAAAAAUAAACUUUCUAAAUAAAAUUUCAUCUACUAAGGAGAACAUUUUUGGACAAAUUAACGAAACAGAAUCACAAUCACUUUGUGAAAGCCAAGGCGCAGGCUCUCAUCGUUACGAAACCGCCAACUGCUUAAGCUACUUCAUAUGCAUAUACUACAAUGGACAGUGGGUUCUCAGUAACCACACUUGUCCUACUGGACGCCCUUUUAACCCACAAACAAAAGUAUGUGAUUUUACAUUAACAUGUUGAGUUAUUGCAGAGAUCAGAUUUGUUAGUUUUUGUUCACCAUUUAACUAUUUAACCCUUUGCUUCAAACAAUGUAUUUAAAAAAUUAAAUUUAAUAAAUGCUUAUUGCUUA